rnacentral:rRNA from 1 species
UACAGAGGGGGCAAGCGUUGUUCGGAAUUACUGGGCGUAAAGGGCGCGUAGGCGGCCUUCUAAGUCGAACGUGAAAUCCCCGGGCUCAACCCGGGAACUGCGUCCGAUACUGGAAGGCUUGAAUCCGGGAGAGGGAUGCGGAAUUCCAGGUGUAGCGGUGUAAUGCGUAGAUAUCUGGAGGAACACCGGUGGCGAAGGCGGCAUCCUGGACCGGCAUUGACGCUGAGGCGCGAAAGCCAGGGGAGCAAACGGG